UUUCACUUCAUGGAUGAAUUCCGUAAGCAUUCAUUGAAAUUAAUUUUCAUACAUACACUUUGAGCCAUAAUUAUCUUUUUAUUCAUGGCAUUUCAACCCUUAUAUAUAAGGUUCAAAAGUCACUAAAUAUUGUCUUUGCAUUUAAAUGAAUUCAUUUUAUAUCACUUUAUGUCAUUACAAGCAUAUUACAUAGUUUUCAUACACAAAAAGAAUAAAAAUAAUUCCAAGCUCUUCAAUAGUCUUCAUUUAUACUUCAUUCUUGAUCAUGCUCCAUUACCAUGUACCAUGUUGCAAAGAAAACAAUAAAAACAAGUUAGAAAUUACAUUUACUUCUAAAAAUUCAGUACUUACAUAACAAAAUUCAGCAUCAUGUGUAUUUACAAAUACAUAUGAAAAACCAUCUUAAAUUCAUACCAUUCACUUCUAAAAUUUAGCACAUGCACAUACAUUCACAUCAUAUGCAAAAUCAUUAAAAAACAAGUCAAAUUCAAUGCUAAGUUAUAAAAAUUCAGCAUGUUAUUUAUAUACCAUAAAUACAAAUUCCAUAUUAUGCAUCAUUCACAUUUCAUUUCUAUACAACAAGUAAAACUACAUAAAUCAUGUGUAUUAAAAAAAAUACAGCAUUCACAAAAUACACUAUUUCAUUCAUGAACAUCAAUUUAAAUGCAUCCUUAAGUCAUUCAUUCAUACCAGGUAAAUACCCAAACAUGUAUUAAAGUGAUGCCAUGUAAAUUUAUUCAAUUUCCCUUACACUCAUUAAAAAUUCAACAAAUGUACAAGCAUGUAAAGUCACAUACCUCCCUGCUUUGACCACCCUAACUACCUUAAACUUCCACAAACUAACUCUAACCAUUUUGGGAAAUUGCACGAAGUGCCCAAAAUAGCCCCAACCAACUUCUAACCAAUUUUCAACCUCUAAUCAUCCCUCACCUAAUUCUAUAUAAUCAUUCAUCAUUCACCCAUUAAUGAAAUGCUACUUCACUUUUUGAUUCCACCAAUUCUUCACUUUCUCUCAAGUUUUCACUCUUCAUUCUCCAACCUUCUCUUACUAGAGCUCAAUUUCAUGGUUGUUGAAGCUUCUCAUUGAAACUUCAAUCAAGUUGAGCAUAAACCUUCACCAGACUUCACAUCAUAGUUUUUCAUUACUCAAACACCCAUAAAUCAACAACAACAAGAAAAAAAAGGGAAAAUGGGGUGAAGAAGAAAUGAAGAGGAAUUGAAUCGGAGGAAUUAACAAGUGAACGCAAAGAAUUGCUUACUGUAUUAAAUUUGCGUCGUCAUUGAAGAACCACCUGAGGGUCUCUAGCCGGUAAGCCUCAAACUUUAUUUAUCAUUUCAUGAAUUCUUGCUUGCUUAUGCCUUUUAUGUUUGCUUGUUUGUUUGAGUUAUUUUUGUAUACUUAUUUAUGUAUUUGCCUUAAUUUUUCAUCUUGAGUGGACGGUUAUCGCGGGAAUCCAAACCUUGCCAUGAACACAAAAACCAUAGAAAAAUUCAGCAUCUUAUCAAUAUCAAAACUUGACCUCAUUCAUCACCAAUUUCCACCUUUGUCAAUAAUUCACCAUAAAACACAAGAAACAUCACAAAGAAUCAUUACCGCAAACCUUACCAAUACUAAAUCCAAACCCGGUUAAAAAUUCAAAAUCAAUAAAGAAACCAUUACCAAACUUGAUAAACAUUCAUAAUCCAAAAACAGUGGAAAAAAGAAUCUGUAAUGAAAUCAAAACAAAUAAAAAAGAAAGCUUGGUUGAAACAUUUUACCGAAUAAUUGGUAUAGGAGUUAUGGAGCCGCAAUUGAAACGUAACACCGUUACCGAAACAAACAAAUUCCGAACUAAAACCGAUUCUGAACCAAAACCGCGAUUCCCAAAACACACAAACUGAACCGAAACCGCUAAUUUCUAACCAAAACGAAUGCAUAUCUAUGUUACUGAAAGUGCAAUGGUGUUACUGAAAGUGCAAUGGUAUCACUAUGUUUCACAUUCGGUAUGUUUCUACUUUCUCUUUCUUUUUAAUUAUUCUUGUUCUUGGUUUAUUCAAUACUUAAUUAACCACAUGUCAAGUG
rnacentral:lncRNA from 1 species